rnacentral:rRNA from 1 species
UGGGGAAUAUUGCGCAAUGGGCGAAAGCCUGACGCAGCGACGCCGCGUGAGGGAUGAAGGUUUUCGGAUCGUAAACCUCUGUCGGAAGGGAAGAAGGCGCACCGUGCCAAUCAGCGGUGUGUUGACGGUACCUUCAAAGGAAGCGCCGGCUAACUCCGUGCCAGCAGCCGCGGUAAUACGGAGGGCGCAAGCGUUAAUCGGAAUUACUGGGCGUAAAGCGCGCGUAGGCUGUUUCGUAAGUCAGGGGUGAAAUCCCACGGCUCAACCGUGGAACUGCCUUUGAUACUGCGGGACUUGAAUCCGGGAGAGGGUGGCGGAAUUCCAGGUGUAGGAGUGAAAUCCGUAGAUAUCUGGAGGAACACCGGUGGCGAAGGCGACCACCUGGCCCGGUAUUGACGCUGAGGUGCGAAAGCGUGGGGAGCAAACAGGAUUAGAUACC